rnacentral:rRNA from 1 species
GGGUCCGAGCGUUGUCCGGAUUUACUGGGCGUAAAGGGCACGCAGGCGGUUUUUUAAGUCAGAUGUGAAAGGUACCGGCUCAACCGGUGACAUGCAUUUGAAACUGAAAGACUUGAGUAUUGGAGAGGCAAGUGGAAUUCCUAGUGUAGCGGUGAAAUGCGUAGAUAUUAGGAGGAACACCGGUGGCGAAGGCGGCUUGCUGGACAAAUACUGACGCUGAGGUGCGAAAGCGUGGGGAGC